GGGUUGUGAGGUUAAGCGACUAAGCGUACACGGUGGAUGCCCUGGCAGUCAGAGGCGAUGAAGGACGUGCUAAUCUGCGAUAAGCGCCGGUAAGGUGAUAUGAACCGUUAUAACCGGCGAUUUCCGAAUGGGGAAACCCAGUGUGAUUCGUCACACUAUCAUUAACUGAAUCCAUAGGUUAAUGAGGCGAACCGGGGGAACUGAAACAUCUAAGUACCCCGAGGAAAAGAAAUCAACCGAGAUUCCCCCAGUAGCGGCGAGCGAACGGGGAGGAGCCCAGAGCCUGAAUCAGCAUGUGUGUUAGUGGAAGCGUCUGGAAAGGCGCGCGAUACAGGGUGACAGCCCCGUACACAAAAGCGCAUGUGCUGUGAGCUCGAUGAGUAGGGCGGGACACGUGGUAUCCUGUCUGAAUAUGGGGGGACCAUCCUCCAAGGCUAAAUACUCCUGACUGACCGAUAGUGAACCAGUACCGUGAGGGAAAGGCGAAAAGAACCCCGGCGAGGGGAGUGAAAAAGAACCUGAAACCGUGUACGUACAAGCAGUGGGAGCCCCACCACUAAGCCAGUGGUGAACUCUACAUACGCAUCCUUUGCUGAGGAUACGGUUAACGGAGCGAAAGCGACGUUCAACCUCAAAAGAAGCAGAGGGGGCUUAGUGGUGGGGUGACUGCGUACCUUUUGUAUAAUGGGUCAGCGACUUAUAUUCUGUAGCAAGGUUAACCGUAUAGGGGAGCCGUAGGGAAACCGAGUCUUAACCGGGCGUUAAGUUGCAGGGUAUAGACCCGAAACCCGGUGAUCUAGCCAUGGGCAGGUUGAAGGUUGGGUAACACUAACUGGAGGACCGAACCGACUAAUGUUGAAAAAUUAGCGGAUGACCUGUGGCUGGGGGUGAAAGGCCAAUCAAACCGGGAGAUAGCUGGUUCUCCCCGAAAGCUAUUUAGGUAGCGCCUCGUGAAUUCAUCUCCGGGGGUAGAGCACUGUUUCGGCUAGGGGGCCAUCCCGGCUUACCAACCCGAUGCAAACUGCGAAUACCGGAGAAUGUUAUCACGGGAGACACACGGCGGGUGCUAACGUCCGUCGUGAAGAGGGAAACAACCCAGACCGCCAGCUAAGGUCCCAAAGUCAUGGUUAAGUGGGAAACGAUGUGGGAAGGCCCAGACAGCCAGGAUGUUGGCUUAGAAGCAGCCAUCAUUUAAAGAAAGCGUAAUAGCUCACUGGUCGAGUCGGCCUGCGCGGAAGAUGUAACGGGGCUAAACCAUGCACCGAAGCUGCGGCAGCGACGCUGAUGCGUUGUUGGGUAGGGGAGCGUUCUGUAAGCCUGCGAAGGUGGCCUGUGAGGGUUGCUGGAGGUAUCAGAAGUGCGAAUGCUGACAUAAGUAACGAUAAAGCGGGUGAAAAGCCCGCUCGCCGGAAGACCAAGGGUUCCUGUCCAACGUUAAUCGGGGCAGGGUGAGUCGACCCCUAAGGCGAGGCCGAAAGGCGUAGUCGAUGGGAAACGGGUUAAUAUUCCCGUACUUGGUGUUACUGCGAAGGGGGGACGGAGAAGGCUAUGUUGGCCGGGCGACGGUUGUCCCGGUUUAAGCGUGUAGGUGUGUGUUCCAGGUAAAUCCGGUUCACUUUAACACUGAGGCGUGACGACGAGGCACUACGGUGCUGAAGCAACAAAUGCCCUGCUUCCAGGAAAAGCCUCUAAGCAUCAGGUAACAUCAAAUCGUACCCCAAACCGACACAGGUGGUCAGGUAGAGAAUACCAAGGCGCUUGAGAGAACUCGGGUGAAGGAACUAGGCAAAAUGGUGCCGUAACUUCGGGAGAAGGCACGCUGACACGUAGGUGAAGUGAUUUACUCAUGGAGCUGAAGUCAGUCGAAGAUACCAGCUGGCUGCAACUGUUUAUUAAAAACACAGCACUGUGCAAACACGAAAGUGGACGUAUACGGUGUGACGCCUGCCCGGUGCCGGAAGGUUAAUUGAUGGGGUCAGCGCAAGCGAAGCUCCUGAUCGAAGCCCCGGUAAACGGCGGCCGUAACUAUAACGGUCCUAAGGUAGCGAAAUUCCUUGUCGGGUAAGUUCCGACCUGCACGAAUGGCGUAAUGAUGGCCAGGCUGUCUCCACCCGAGACUCAGUGAAAUUGAACUCGCUGUGAAGAUGCAGUGUACCCGCGGCAAGACGGAAAGACCCCGUGAACCUUUACUAUAGCUUGACACUGAACAUUGAGCCUUGAUGUGUAGGAUAGGUGGGAGGCUUUGAAGUGUGGACGCCAGUCUGCAUGGAGCCGACCUUGAAAUACCACCCUUUAAUGUUUGAUGUUCUAACGUGGACCCGUUACCCGGGUUGCGGACAGUGUCUGGUGGGUAGUUUGACUGGGGCGGUCUCCUCCUAAAGAGUAACGGAGGAGCACGAAGGUUGGCUAAUCCUGGUCGGACAUCAGGAGGUUAGUGCAAUGGCAUAAGCCAGCUUGACUGCGAGCGUGACGGCGCGAGCAGGUGCGAAAGCAGGUCAUAGUGAUCCGGUGGUUCUGAAUGGAAGGGCCAUCGCUCAACGGAUAAAAGGUACUCCGGGGAUAACAGGCUGAUACCGCCCAAGAGUUCAUAUCGACGGCGGUGUUUGGCACCUCGAUGUCGGCUCAUCACAUCCUGGGGCUGAAGUAGGUCCCAAGGGUAUGGCUGUUCGCCAUUUAAAGUGGUACGCGAGCUGGGUUUAGAACGUCGUGAGACAGUUCGGUCCCUAUCUGCCGUGGGCGCUGGAGAACUGAGGGGGGCUGCUCCUAGUACGAGAGGACCGGAGUGGACGCAUCACUGGUGUUCGGGUUGUCAUGCCAAUGGCACUGCCCGGUAGCUAAAUGCGGAAGAGAUAAGUGCUGAAAGCAUCUAAGCACGAAACUUGCCCCGAGAUGAGUUCUCCCUGAGACUUUAGGUCUCCUGAAGGAACGUUGAAGACGACGACGUUGAUAGGCCGGGUGUGUAAGCGCAGCGAUGCGUUGAGCUAACCGGUACUAAUGAACCGUGAGGCUUAACCUUACAACGCCGAAG
rnacentral:rRNA from 1 species